rnacentral:rRNA from 1 species
CACAGGUGCUGCAUGGCUGUCGUCAGCUCGUGUCGUGAGAUGUUGGUUAAGUCCCGCAACGAGCGCAACCCUUGUCAUUAGUUGCUACAUUCAGUUGGGCACUCUAAUGAGACUGCCGGUGACAAGCCGGAGGAAGUGGGGAUGACGUCAAGUCCUCAUGGCCCUUAUAGGUGGGGCUACACACGUCAUACAAUGGCUGGUACAAAGGGUUGCCAACCCGCGAGGGGGAGCCAAUCCCAUAAAGCCAGUCGUAGUCCGGAUCGUAGUCUGUAACUCGACUACGUGAAGUCGGAAUCGCUAGUAAUCGUGGAUCAGAAUGUCACGGUGAAUACGUUCCCGGGUCUU